GCCAGGGUAGUGUAGUCUGGUUAACAUCCAGGACUGUGGAUCCUGUGAGCCGGGUUCGAAUCCCGGCCCUGGCC
rnacentral:tRNA from 1 species